CAUAAUGACCCUCUUUGAUAACGUGUUUAUGCUAAUAAGAUAGCUUGGAGUGGGGUCCAUAGAUAGUCUAAAAACUGGGGGGGAAGGAGCUGAAGAUCAUGCUCUGUAAGAUUCGUUUUUCUUUUUUUUAAUAUUUAAAGAGAUGGGGUCUCUAUGUUGCCCAGGCGGGUCUUGAACUGGCUAAUUUUUAUAUUUUUAGUACAGACCGAGUUUUGCCAUGUUGGCCAGGCUGGUCUCGAACUCCUAACUUCAGGUGAUCCACCCGUCUCGGCCUCCCAAAGUGCUGGGAUUACAGGUGUAAGCCACCGCACCCAGCCUUAUUUUGUAUUUUUGUAGAGAUGGAGUCUGGCAAACAUAUAAUUACCAAUUUAUUGCUCUUCUGUUUGAAAGAAGUGUUUUGACUGCAGUAAAGUUCUAGCCUAUUGUGAAAAUCAGGCUAGCCCAUUUCUCAGAUGGCUGCCUGGCUAGACACCCUCUCUGAGAUGGCUGGAAUGAUUAGUAGAAAGGAGUGGGCAGGAAGUAGGUGGAGAGUGGGGAUUCUAGAUCAGGGGUCCUAUGGCCUGUUAAGAACGGGCCAUUACAGCAGGAGGUGAGUGGCGGGCAAGCAAGCAUUACCACCUGAGCUCCGUCUCCCGUCAGAUCAGUGGCGGCAUUAGAUUCUCCUGGAAGUGCAAAUCCUACUGUGAACUGUGCAUGCAAGGGAUCUAGGUUACGAGCUCCUUGUGAGAAUCUAAUGCCUGAUGAUCUGAGAUGGAACAGUUUCAUCCCAAAACCAUUCCCCCUAACUCCUCCCCCAUUUUUUCAUGGAAAAAUUGUCUUCCAUGAAACGGGUUCCUGGUGCCAGGAAGGUUGGGUACCACUAUUGUAGAUAAUUUCCUUCCAAAUUACUGGCAUCUGGGUUAAUUCUGGCAGUAUUGUCAGUACAACAUGGACGAGGACUUGAUAAAGUGAUUUCUUUCCACCCACCCAAUAUCUUGUUCUUCUCCAGGCAGUCAGUUGUGGGAAACUUAUCAGGUUUGAGGGAGUUACUUGCUUUCAUCAGGUCACCUUGUCCCCUACCUCAGGGAGCCCCACAGCUCUGAGUGCUUUGGCUGUGGGAGAAUUCCAUCCUCUGGGUGUGCAAGUGGGUGUGUAUGGGUGGAGGAAUCUGACCAAAUAAGGCUUUACCUUAGCUAGAAAAUCACCCUGGCUUCAGGAAACCCACCAGUGCAUGCCAGCUUUGCAGUUCUUUUGUUGUUGUUGUUUUUGGGACAGAGUCUCGCUCUGUCACCCAGGCUGGAGUGCAUUUGCUCAAUCUUGGCAUUUGCAACCUCCACUUCCCAGGUACAAGUGAUUCUCGUGCCUCAGUCUGCCAAGUAGCUGGAAUUACAGGUGCCCGCCACCAUGCCUGGCUAAUUUUUGCAUUUUUUAGUUUGAGACGGGGUUUCACCAAUGUUGGCCAGGCUGAUCUUGAACUCCUGACCUCAAGUCAUCCACCCGCCUCAGCCUCCCAAAGUGCUGGGAUUACAGGCAUGAGGCACAGUGCCCGGCCUCAGUUUCUGCAGUUCUUGCUUUUUAACAGUUGUUUACCCUACAAAAAUGGAAAAUAUACUUGGAAAUAUUUGUGGACAUAGGGCUUUUAAGUAUAUGCACUUAGAGAUAGAUACAGACAACCUAUGGAUUAGGAAAUAGGACACUAUCCAUGUCUGAAAUUUAAAUAAGGUCCAAAUUAGCUUAGAUCCAAUAUGAUUCCCCAAUGCAUAUAUGAACAAUACGUGAACAUUGUUGUGUGCACAACUAUGGAAAGGUCUUAAUCCGCACAGUGACUCUGAGAUAAGACUCACUGAAGGAAAUACAGCAGCAAACCCAGGAGAUGUGAGUUCCAAUCUUCAUUUGUAACUCACUCCAAAUGAGAUCCUAGCAAUGAAGUAAUUUUUUUUUGUUUCCCACUAAAAACAAAUAAACAAAAACCUUAGUUUUUCUAUGCUACAGAAUUAGGAUGACAAAUGAACUUAUCUUGCAGUCACUAUAAGAACACUGACAGUUUCAGAGAUAGUAUUAAAAAUCAACUAAACACUUAUAAUUAUUGUGAAAGCAUUUAUCUAUCAAAGAAGGUUAGCCUGCAGCCAGUUGGAAAGUUUUUUUUGUUGUUUUUUUGGUUUGUUUGUUUGUUUGUUUGUUUGUUUGUUUGAUAGAGACAGGGUCUCACUAUGUUGCCAGGCUCUCCUGGGCUCAAGCAAUCCUCCCGCCUCAGCCUCCCAAAAUGCUGGGAUUACAGGCAUGAGCCACCGUGUCCGGCUGCCAGGUGGAAAGAACAAUUUAAGGAGAUGGUUAAAAGUGGAAAAGCCAAUAACAUGGUAAUAAUUG
rnacentral:lncRNA from 1 species